UUUAAAAAAAAGUUUUUUAAUCCAAAUUCGCUUUUAGUAUAAUUUAUAGAAUACCGCAAGACAAGGGUGGACUUAACCAUCAAGCGAGGUAAGCGGCCGCUUAGGGCCCCAUCUGAUAUUGGCGAAACAUAUUGCAAAUGCUCCAGUGUUUUGUUUAUUUGCGUUUUGGAGAGCGUCAAAUGUUCACUCACCGCUCAAAACGCCGAGUUUUUGUCAAGUGCUGAGUUCUGCAAGCUCACGAAUCCUCUCAUUAUAACAACGUGUAGAUACGAUGUACAGUUGUGCUCAAAGUUAUUCAUACCCUUGGUAAAUAUGAUCAAAGAAGGCUGUGAAAAUAAGUCUGUAUUGUUUAUUCAUUCCAGCUUCAAGUCUAACCUUUAACUGAAGUAAAAAAAAAAGUGAAAGUGGGGGGAAAUCACAUUAGGAAAUAUUUUUCUCUAGUACACAAUGGCCACAAUUAUUGGUACCUCUAGAAAUUCUUAUGAUUAAAAUAUCUCUGAAGUAUAUUCCCAUUCAUACUUGCAUUUGGUAUCACACCAGUGACUAGGAACAUUAAAUUGUCCAGCCUGGGCUUCCUGUUUCACAGGAUUCUAAAUAUGAGGAACACAAAGGCCAAAUUCCCCAUUGAUCAUAAGGAGUAAAAUCAAAGAAUAUAUUUCUGAUGUGCAGCAAAAGAUUGUUGAACUUCACAAAUUUAGAAAGUGGCUGUAAGAAAAGAGCUAAAGGGUAAUAAUUCAGAGGUCCAGUCAACUAAAGAUGUUAGAAAUCUGUCUGGAAGAUGAUGUGUGUCUAUAUCGUCCUAAUGCACGCUAAAGAGGAGAGUUUGAGUGGCUAAAGACUCUCCAAAUAUCACAGCUGGAGAAUUGCAGAGAUUAGAUGAGUCUUGGGGUAAGAAAGCCUAAACAAAGUUAAACAGCCCUUACAUCACCACAUGUUGUUCAAGAGGGUUUCAAGAAUAAUUCUCCUCACUCACAAAAAAAAAAAACUCCAGCAUAUUCAGUUGUCAGACACGACUGGAACAAAUAGCACUGGCUUCUAUGCUCAGAUGAAACUGAAAAAGGAGCUUUUUAGCAGCAAACACUCAAGAUGGGUUUGGUGCACACAGGGAUAAAAAACUACCCCAUGUGUACAAUGAAAUAUACUGCUGUAUCUUUAUUGUCAUGGACCUAUAUUUCUGCUGGAGGUCCUGGACAUCUUAUUUAGAUAUGGCAUCAUGGAUUCAAUUAAAUACCAACAUAUACAAAAUUAAAAAAUGACUGUCCAUGCUAGAAAUCUUAUAAUGGGCCGAGGUUGGAUCUUCCAACAGGACAAUGAUCCACCAACAAACAUCAAAACCAAAAAUAAAUAAAUAAAAUAAAAACGGGUCACUGAAAACAAAACCAAGCUUCUGCUCUGGCCAACCCAAUUCUCUGAACUGAACCCUAUAGAAAAUGAGUGUGGGGAACUGAAGAGAAGCUGAAGCUGUGAAUCUGAAGGGUCUGGAGAGAUUCUGUAUGAAGGAAGGGUCUCUGAUGUACUGUCAGAUGUUCUCUAAACUCUUCAGCCAUUAUAGGUGAAGACUCAGAGCUGUUCUCCUGGCAAAAGGAGGCAUAUAAAAGGGUAUGAUUAAUUGUGGCCAGUGUGUAUUAAGAGAAAAAAAUAAAUUCAUAAUGAGAUUUCUCUCCCAUUUUAAACUCUUAUUCUCCAAUGAAAAGUUUGAUUUUUGUAAAUUUUUAAAAUAAAAGAUCAAAAGGAUUAUUGAUACAGAUUUAUUUUCACAUGCCGUCUUUAAUCAUAUUUAUCAAGGGUAUGGAUAAUUUUGAGCACAACUGUAAAUAAGCGAUUGAUUGUGUAGUGCAGACAACGGAACACCAUGAGAUCGGAACCGAAGUGAAUGACAGCUUGAGGGAGAGCUCUUUGCACACUUUCUAGGGUGUAUACUGUCUGACUGUCUCAGAAAGGAUAUAUUAACCUCAGAGAAGAAAGUAUUGUGUUUCAUGUCAUGAAUUUAUUUGUCUUAAUGUUUCCCAUGCGCACCAGCACAAACUGCUACACAUUCAUACAAAUGCACGAAUGUGAUGACUGGAGAUUUUCGCUUAAUAAUAGAUUACAUUUUCGAUUGAUUUCUCAGUAUGCCUUAAGAACACUUUGAAUAUGGAAUGAGUAGCAUGGGAUAAUUUUAUGACAUUUGAAUCCUUUUUGUAAAAAGAUUGAAGAAGGUUACAAUUCAUUAAAUGGACAAGUGCCUGCUUUUUUAUAAUAAUGGCUUCUUUUGUGAUGGUAGCCUUAUAUGGCUUUAGAACAGCAUGAGGUUAACUAAUUAUUGACUUAAGUUGUGACGGGGUAAAUAAACUAUAAACUAUGAGAGAGAGCGAGCAAAAUAAGGGUUAGACAAGAAAGAGCACAUAAUUAUUGUGUUGGGGCCCAAUACCUGACAUUUGCUUAGGGCCCCCAAAUCACUAAUGGUGAUUUUCCACUGUGUGGUAUGGCACGGCUGUGCUUGGCUCGGUUUGUGUUUCCACUGUUGCACUGCCUCUGCUGCCGUGACUCCUAAAAACUUUUUCAUUCCACGUCGUGGUGUGCUCGUUCAAAACAGUUGCGUUCGAUCCUUCACUGGCUGUGCUGAUCUAAAUCUAGUGGUUCUGCUGUGUCUCUUGCCGCAAGUUCAGUGAUGCAGGUAGUGAUGAUACUCUCUGGCCAAUCAGUGAUCAGCGGAGUUUACAUGGCACGUUUUGGUAAUGGUAUGGUUUACUUGGAACCUCAAGCAAGGUGGUACUUAAAAAAGUACCAGGUACUGUUCCCAGUGGAAAACCCCCCAAAAGUGAACUGUACUGAACCGUACCAUGCAGUGGAAAAGCACCAUAAGUCCACGUCUGACGCCGGUUCAAUAAACUGGCCAAUUGUCGCUAAUCUAUGCAAUUUAAUGCAAAUACUGACAAGCCUGCGGGAUGAAGGGGACGUCUCUGCCCUAGGCUUAAUCGUGGACUUAAUCUCCUUCACUGCUAAUGUGGAAGAGGACUCCAUGUCCAUCUAGAAUUUGGGAAGGACUGGGCAGAGUCUGAGCUGGAUCGUCCCAACACUGAGGGCCCUGCUGACCUCCAUGAUGACUGGAGGUUCCAUCACUGACACUGCUUCGAAAUGCCCGUUUUGAGACAGUAAGUUCAUAGCCUGCUCGCAAAAGGAGCCAUAGAGCAAGUCCCUCCAAAGUGGGUUAUACAGCCGUAAAAGAUGCAUACUUUCAUAUUCAGAUAACACUGUACCACAGAUGCUUCCUGAGGUUUGCUUUUGAGGGCACGGCAUACCAGUACUCAGUGCUCACUUUCAGGCUGGCUUUAGCCAUAAGUGCAUAAGUGCAGUGCAUUCCCUUCUCAAAUUGAGCGGUAUGCGCACCUUAAACUGGACGGUUGGCUGAUUUUAGCACAUUCAAGAGAUGUGCUUAUCAGUCAUAUGCACACGCUGCUUCACCACCUGGAGUCCCUAGGUCUGCGUGUGAAUAUGCAGAAGAGCGUUUUCACCCCGAGUCAGUCUAUAACAUAUCUGGGUGUGUGUUUCGACUUGGUGGAGAUGCAAGCUCAUCUGAGUCGCCUCUCUCAAGAGUGCAUAAUGACCAUUUCAUCAGCUCUGCACUGCUUCAGACCGGGCCGGUCAGUUCCCUUGAUGUUGCGCUGGCCGAGAGCCAGACACUAUGCAUUACCCCCGGUGAAGAGUUUGCCUCUGGUUUUAAGCUAAAUCAGGGAAGAGAGAGCAUCGCCAAUCCACAAACUGGCCAAAUCAAAAUUGGUUUCUGGACCUCAGGGAGGUGCUGGUGGCUCCCCCUUGGCGAAUCUCCCUCAGAAGGGACCUGCUGUCUCAAGCGAAUGGCUCUAUAAGGCACCCCAGCCUGGAGCUGUGGAGUGUUCAUGUGUGGCUGCUUCAGGGUUCCUAGAGGAGCUAAGCGCCCUGCCUCCCCGCACCAAACUCAAGAUAAUAUGAACUGCCCCUGGAGGAGUUUUUCUUUUUUGUCUUUAUAACAUAGGCUAAUAGCAAGAGCAAGAUUGUUAUUUUCCCGAAUAUCAGCACAAUUACAUGUGUGAUAUUCAUUUUACACAACAGUUCAAGAGGUUAACUGUCAAUUAGUUCAUAAAGUGUUUGCUUGAAAAUUAAUGAUUCUCUAAUUCAUUUAGCUAUAUCUAGCAGAUUUAUUUCCAAUAAUUUUGUUUUUCUCAAACACUAUUCGUAUUUCUAUGUUCAAAAUACCCAUUUUAAAACCAUAACCUCAUUAUUUAUGAAAUUGUAAUUGCAGUGUAAAUGGAUUUUUAAUCUAAAAAAAAAAAAAACAAUUCACUUGCAGAUUGUGGCUAGUUGCUUUCUAAUGUUUCAGGUCAAGGUCAAGGUGAAAAGCAGAUGACCAGAGUGAUGGGAAGUUCGGCUCUUUUGGCUCAGCUCCCAAAGAAGAGCCGGCUCUUUCGGCUCCUGAAAGGCUCUUAAUUUAGGAUUUUUUGUAGGCCUUUAUUUUACCAUAAUUUUGCAAAAAUUAAUGGUUUGUGUGUUGAAAACCCUUUAAUGUGCAGUGUUUUUAUGAGAAUCCUUAUAAUUGCCUAAUUUUUGCCUAAUUAAACCAUUCUUUUGUUUGUUUUGUUUAAUAUUUUAAUCAAACAUUUUAUUGCACAAAUUAACAACAAAACAGAAAAUAAAUCCACAGAACAGAACUAGAACCAAACUCAAGCAAACAGUAUUAAUGUCCUCAUUGAAGAUUGGCAUUCAAAAAAAUCAGAUGCCUCAGCUUUGAUGGACUGCUUCUUUCUGUGAUUAUCUUCCCUGUUUCACCCCCCUCUCUGUUUUUACAUAAUGGUAUGAUCCCAUAUCCUCACAUCUGAUUGGCCGCGAUGCGAUUGCUGACCAAUCAAAACAAAGUUCUGCCUUGAGGUAAGCAGCGAAAGGAAAAAAACUGGGAGCCGGCUCUCACUCGAUGCGAGCAGGCACUUCUGAUUCACUACAAAGCAUCAGCUCUCAGAGCCGCAUCUUUUGCGCAUGACACAUAACUAUGAUGUACCACCCGUGACGAGUCGUGACGUUCAAGAAGUCGAUGAUGAAUGGAGUGAAGACCUAUCGCUGGAGGGACCACCGGUCAAGUCGAUGAUGACUGGAGUGUUGACAUCUUCCCAAAUUGAGUUGGUGAUUUGUCAAAAUGGAGUGCUGACAUUCUCCAUGCUCUUAACAGUGUUAUGGGCAAAUUUUAUUUAAACUUCGUCCAAAAGCUCCAAUUGCAUCUGAUUGUAGUAAUGACGUCCCCCAAGCGGCAGUCAGUGCCACGUCUGACUCUAGCGAUGAUGUCCCCCAAACUAUUGUCUGUGCCACGUCGAGCUGUAGUGAUAACAUCCCUCAAGCUACAGUCCAUGCCACGUCCAGCUGUAGUGAUGAUGUCCCUCCAUCUUCAUGCUGUGCCACGUCUGUAUGUAGUGAUGACGUCCUCAAAGCUACAGUCCGUGCCACGUCUGACUGUAGUGAUGACGUCCUCGAAGCUACAGUCCGUGCCACGUCUGACUGUAGUGAUGACGUCCUCGAAGCUACAGUCCGUGCCACGUCUGACUGUAGUGAUGACGUCCUCGAAGCUACAGUCCGUGCCAUGUCUGACUGUAGUGAUGAUGUCCCUCCAUCUUCAUGCUGUGCCACGUCUGACUGUAGUGAUGUUGUCCUCAAAGCUACAGUCCGUGCCACUUCUGCCUGUAGUGAUGACGUCCUCGAAGCUACAGUCCGUGCCAUGUCUGACUGUAGUGAUGACGUCCUCAAAGCUACAGUCCAUGCCACGUCUGACUGUAGUGAUGACGUCCUCGACGCUACAGUCCGUCCCACGUCUGACUGUAGUGAUGAUGUCCUCAAAGCUACAGUCCGUGCCACGUCUGACUGUAGUGAUGAUGUCCUCGAAGCUACAGUCCAUGCCACGUCUGACUGUAGUGAUGACGUCCUCGAAGCUACAGUCCGUGCCAUGUCUGACUGUAGUGAUGAUGUCCUCAAAGCUACAGUCCAUGCCACGUCCAGCUGUAGUGAUGAUGUCCCUCCAUCUUCAUGCUGUGCCACGUCUGACUGUAGUGAUGACGUCCUCAAAGCUACAGUCCGUGCCACGUCUGACUGUAGUGAUGAUGUCCUCAAAGCUACAGUCCGUGCCACGUCCAGCCUGUAGUGAUAACAUCCCUCAAGCUACAGUCCAUGCCACGUCCAGCUGUAGUGAUGAUGUCCCUCCAUCUUCAUGCUGUGCCACGUCUGACUGUAGUGAUGAUGUCCUCAAAGCUACAGUCCGUGCCACUUCUGACUGUAGUGAUGACGUCCUCGAAGCUACAGUCCGUGCCAUGUCUGACUGUAGUGAUGAUGUCCUCGAAGCUACAGUCCAUGCCACGUCUGACUGUAGUGAUGACGUCCUCGAAGCUACAGUCCAUGCCAUGUCUGACUGUAGUGAUGAUGUCCUCAAAAUUACAGUCCGUGCCACGUCCAGCUGUAGUGAUAACAUCCCUCAAGCUACAGUCCAUGCCACGUCCAGCUGUAGUGAUGAUGUCCCUCCAUCUUCAUGCUGUGCCACAUCUGACUGUAGUGAUGACGUCCUCAAAGCUACAGUCCGUGCCACGUCUGACUGUAGUGAUGAUGUCCUCAAAGCUACAGUCCGUGCCAUGUCUGACUGUAGUGAUGACGUCCUCGAAGCUACAGUCCGUGCCAUGUCUGACUGUAGUGAUGAUGUCCUCGAAGCUACAGUCCGUGCCACGUCUGACUGUAGUGAUGACGUCCUCGAAGCUACAGUCCGUGCCACGUCUGACUGUAGUGAUGACGUCCUCGAAGCUACAGUCCGUGCCAUGUCUGACUGUAGUGAUGAUGUCCUCAAAGUUACAGUCCGUGCCACGUCUGACUGUAGUGUUGAUGUCCUCAAAGCUACAGUCCGUGCCAUGUCUGACUGUAGUGAUGAUGUCCCUCCAUCUUCAUGCUGUGCCACGUCUGACUGUAGUGAUGAUGUCCUCAAAGCUACAGUCCGUGCCACUUCUGACUGUAGUGAUGACGUCCUCAAAGCUACAGUCCAUGCCACUUCUGACUGUAGUGAUGAUGUCCUCAAAGUUACAGUCCGUGCCACGUCUGACUGUAGUGAUGAUGUCCUCAAAGCUGCAGUCCGUGCCAUGUCUGACUGUAGUGAUGACGUCCUCGAAGUUACAGUCCGUGCCACAUCCAGCUAUAGUGAUGAUGUCCCUCCAUCUUCAUGCUGUGACAUAUCUGACUGUAAUGUUGACAUCCCCCAAGCUACAAUCAGUCAGACAGAGGACACUGUUGCACCUCAGUUGAGCCAGCUCCAGAGAGACAACAGUUAUUGGUCAGUUUGCUACGAUAACCCUAACAUAAUCCAAACACACUCGCACUUUAAUCAGCAGUUUUAAAUGAAGAAACUGUUAUUUAUCUUUUAACAGACAUCAGUUCAUGGCAUUAUAUAAUCGGCAGUCAACUGGGUAAAGGAGGCUUUGGAACCAUAUAUACUGCGACUCGUUUCGACGAAUGCCUUCAGGUGGCACUAAAAUUUGUCUCCAACAGGAACAAAAAAUUCUUUAGCAUUGACGGUUAUUCCACCUCUUCCACUGGAGGUCGCUCUGUUAAUUCUUGCAAACCAAGACACCAGCGUUCCUGAAAUCGUCCAGCUUCUGGACAAGCAUGUGGAGCCUGACCACUACGUCUUGGUCAUAGAGCAUCCCAUGCCCUUUGAGGAAUUUAACUGGUUUGUCCUGUUGCAAAUAAUGACCAUUGAAGAGGACGUGGUCCGUGUUAUUAUGCACCAGGCAAUAUUUGCAGCUCAAAUGUGCCACUGAUGUGGAGUAUUGCACUGGGAUAUUAAGAUGGAAAACCUUCUGAUUAACCCGGACACCCUCAAAGUCAAAUUAAUUGAAUUUGGGUGCGGUGACUUCCUUAUUGAGGCAGGUUGGACGUCCUUUGCUGGUAUGUAUGAUCCGUCAAAGCUGUAAAGUGGGUCUCAAACUCUAGAGAUGAGUUGAGGGCCGUUCACACAGGACUUUGAGUGAAUCAAGCUCUCAUAAAGCUUCAUGGAAUCGGGAUUCACUCUUUUGUGAAUCAAAUGGCAUCAAAUCAAAUUCUUGCAUGAUAAUGGAUAUCAAGUUAAAACCAGCAGCAGUGUGGUCACUCGGGAUCCUCUUGUUUGCAUUACUGUCUGGAGAUUUACCAGAAGACCUGAAAAAAGAUCCACAGUAACACCUGGGCAAAAGAUGGCUUGUCAGAAGAAUGCUGUGAUUUUAUUCGCUGUUGUCUGCAUAUUUACACAAAACAGUGGAUUAAACUCGAGAAUCUCUGUCUCCACAACUGGUUUAAGAUUAUAGACAAGAAGAAAUGAGGGAUAACAUGAUCGUCAGCUUUCACGAAGAAUAAUGGUGGAAGUUGAUACUAUCGAUGGCUGUCAGGGCAGAGAAAUGGAUGCAUCAUUGUGUGUUGUGUGAGAGCCAGCAGUGAAAUGGGUUGCAUUGGUACCUUCAAGAAUCUGGUCCUGCUGGGAUCGUUGACCUGGAGGGACAUAAGAGGACUCAUUACUACAGACACAUACACAGAUACACCCAAAGUGGUGCUUUUGGCCUCUGACUGGAUAAGUGCCCUUUUUGCAAG